UACGUAGGGUGCGAGCGUUGUCCGGAAUUACUGGGCGUAAAGAGCUCGUAGGUGGUUUGUCGCGUUGUUCGUGAAAUCUCACGGCUUAACUGUGAGCGUGCGGGCGAUACGGGCAGACUAAAGUACUGCAGGGGAGACUGGAAUUCCUGGUGUAGCGGUGGAAUGCGCAGAUAUCAGGAGGAACACCGGUGGCGAAGGCGGGUCUCUGGGCAGUAACUGACGCUGAGGAGCGAAAGCGUGGGGAGCGAACAGG
rnacentral:rRNA from 1 species